CCACAGUAAGAUUUUGUAAUUUUGGUGUCUAAAGCUGUCUUCAUUUUUUUUUUUAUUCCACCUCGUCCACCCACUCCAGCCAGCUCAAAUUCCCUGUGCCAAAAGUAUGGAGAAACGAAGAUGUCAGGAACGUGUGAGAACUCCCCCAGACGGUCUUUCGGAGUCACCCUGCCCUCCCAGACAAUUUUGGUGCUGGCUGCCUCCAAGAACCUGACUCUCUCAGUCUCUUACUAUUUCACUCCGUGAGUCAAGUCUAUGCAAAGCCUUCACGCUGAGCCUUGCCUUGCAGGCAGCCUUUGUGAGGCAGUCAUCAUGGCUCAGCUAACUGCAGCAGGAAGAGACAAACAUGGAGCUAAAAGCACAGCAGCUGGGAUUCCAGGAAAGCGGGAAGUUCUGCAGUUAGCAUCAGCAUUCGUCACCCAGGCAAUAGUCCUUUGAAAGGCAGCUUGUGAAUCCCAACAACCAGGGAGCGUGCCGCUUUCCUCCCCACCUGCCCCCUUGCGUCAUGUUGUCCGAUGGUGGAGCAGAGGGCUUUCUGUGAGUGUACUUAAACACCUUCAGAGCCAGUUUUAGACUUUUCAUUCCAUAGACCAGAAAAUUGCUGAAAUUAGUAGACAUUUGAAGUGGCUCUUCCUCAAGCCCAGAAAAGAUUUCUGCUGUUGCUAUGUUUAAAAGCCCAGCAGCAAGUUGUUUUGGCUUAUGUCUUAUUGUUAUAUAAUAAACAUGAUAAGCUCUGUGAGCUCUGAACACUGGUUGCAAGGAUGAAAAUCGAGGCCUCACAAUAAUAAGUGCCCUGGAGAUGCUUUGUAGAGGGCGGGAGGAAGAUAAUAGUUUUCUGUGAGUGUUCAAAUAACAAUGUGUGUAAUAGAUUCAAAAUUGCUAUGUAAAUUCCCAAAGGAAACAGUAGAGGAAAAAAGAAGGUGGUUAUGGAUUAAAAUGAAGAGGUUAUAUAUUAAUGUGAGGGAAAAAUGUAAUCAACAACCAAAUGAGAGCUAGUUUUAAUAAGACAGUGGACCCAGGACAGGUGGACUGAUCCAUUGUAGAAAGGAGAUAAGCUUUCUAUGCUAUGUAACAAAUUACUAUAAACCUAGCCGCUUAAUGAAACACAAAUUUGUGAUCACCUAAGAGCUCAGAGCAGCCCCCCGUGACAGCCAGCAAGAAAGUGAGGCAGAAGUGCAGGUGUGGUGUGGCUG
rnacentral:lncRNA from 1 species